GGCUGGUCUGAAUGCAAUGGUGCUUUCAACUAACUGAUCACAACUGGUUACAGAUUCCAUUGUUUCUUCUCCACCCCAACUGCUUCACUUGACUAACUUUAA
ensembl:misc_RNA Y_RNA Y RNA